UUGCUGCUUUGCUGACGAGUGGCGGACGGGUGAGUAAUGUCUGGGAAACUGCCUGAUGGAGGGGGAUAACUACUGGAAACGGUAGCUAAUACCGCAUAACGUCGCAAGACCAAAGAGGGGGACCUUCGGGCCUCUUGCCAUCGGAUGUGCCCAGAUGGGAUUAGCUAGUAGGUGGGGUAAAGGCUCACCUAGGCGACGAUCCCUAGCUGGUCUGAGAGGAUGACCAACCACACUGGAACUGAGACACGGUCCAGACUCCUACGGGAGGCAGCAGUGGGGAAUAUUGCACAAUGGGCGCAAGCCUGAUGCAGCCAUGCCGCGUGUAUGAAGAAGGCCUUCGGGUUGUAAAGUACUUUCAGCGGGGAGGAAGGGAGCAAAGUUAAUACCUUUGCUCAUUGACGUUACCCGCAGAAGAAGCACCGGCUAACUCCGUGCCAGCAGCCGCGGUAAUACGGAGGGUGCAAGCGUUAAUCGGAAUUACUGGGCGUAAAGCGCGCGCAGGCGGUUUGUUAAGUCAGAUGUGAAAUCCCCGGGCUCAACCUGGGAACUGCAUCUGAUACUGGCAAGCUUGAGUCUCGUAGAGGGGGGUAGAAUUCCAGGUGUAGCGGUGAAAUGCGUAGAGAUCUGGAGGAAUACCGGUGGCGAAGGCGGCC
rnacentral:rRNA from 1 species